rnacentral:lncRNA from 1 species
UUGAACACGGAAAUAUUUUGACACUGGUUCCUGAAAAAUUCCACCAAAUCUGGCUCCUUUUUCUGAGGAAUGACUUUGGGAAGUCUGCAGAUACUGAUGAUAAGCACUCUUUAAAGAAGAAUGUAGUUUAGAAGUAAGGUCAGAUUUCUGGAGAAAAUCAGGGUAAAAUGUGAUGGAAGGAUCUGGCAACUGGAAGGUAACACGCUCCCUCUGUCAUCUUCAUCAAAAUUCAUCUUUAAACGUUCUGACACUGACUGGAGAAGGGAUAAAACAGAAGAGGACUGGUUUUCACUGUCUCUUGAUUUCCUGGGGCCAUGGUGACCAGGUGAAACCUCACUAGAUAGAAUGUCCUCCUGUGAGCUGUCAUCCUCAUAAAUGGGAGACAAUGCUAAAGGAUAAAUUUUGUACCUUUUGGCCUCCACUGAUAAGAACAUUUCUGAACUAUCACUAUCAAAUGUCUCACCUAAUUUAGUACCUUUUUCAAAGUGAUGGACAUUUUUCUGUGAGUCUUGGGCAGACAAUCUCUUUCCUUCAUUUACAAAUUCUGUGUCUGUCACAGCAUGUCUCUGAAGAGCAAUGAUAUUGGUGUGAGUGGCAGCUUGCUUUGAUGAGCUAUCUAUGGUUUGCUUGUCAGAACACUCACUCUCUGGCAACUGCAGAUGUUCAUGCCUAAUUGAUUUAUUUGGACUUGGCAAAUUUGUACUUUCCUGCUCAGUAGUGUCACUCCCAUCAGAUUUAC